rnacentral:rRNA from 1 species
GGUUAAGCGACUAAGCGUACACGGUGGAUGCCCUGGCAGUCAGAGGCGAUGAAGGACGUGCUAAUCUGCGAUAAGCGUCGGUAAGGUGAUAUGAACCGUUAUAACCGGCGAUUUCCGAAUGGGGAAACCCAGUGUGAUUCGUCACACUAUCAUUAACUGAAUCCAUAGGUUAAUGAGGCGAACCGGGGGAACUGAAACAUCUAAGUACCCCGAGGAAAAGAAAUCAACCGAGAUUCCCCCAGUAGCGGCGAGCGAACGGGGAGCAGCCCAGAGUCUGAAUCAGUGUGUGUGUUAGUGGAAGCGUCUGGAAAGGCGCGCGAUACAGGGUGACAGCCCCGUACACAAAAAUGCACAUGCUGUGAGCUCGAUGAGUAGGGCGGGACACGUGGUAUCCUGUCUGAAUAUGGGGGGACCAUCCUCCAAGGCUAAAUACUCCUGACUGACCGAUAGUGAACCAGUACCGUGAGGGAAAGGCGAAAAGAACCCCGGCGAGGGGAGUGAAAAAGAACCUGAAACCGUGUACGUACAAGCAGUGGGAGCACGCUUAGGCGUGUGACCGCGUACCUUUUGUAUAAUGGGUCAGCGACUUAUAUUCUGUAGCAAGGUUAACCGAAUAGGGGAGCCGAAGGGAAACCGAGUCUUAACUGGGCGUUAAGUUGCAGGGUAUAGACCCGAAACCCGGUGAUCUAGCCAUGGGCAGGUUGAAGGUUGGGUAACACUAACUGGAGGACCGAACCGACUAAUGUUGAAAAAUUAGCGGAUGACUUGUGGCUGGGGGUGAAAGGCCAAUCAAACCGGGAGAUAGCUGGUUCUCCCCGAAAGCUAUUUAGGUAGCGCCUCGUGAACUCAUCUCCGGGGGUAGAGCACUGUUUCGGCAAGGGGGUCAUCCCGACUUACCAACCCGAUGCAAACUGCGAAUACCGGAGAAUGUUAUCACGGGAGACACACGGCGGGUGCUAACGUCCGUCGUGAAGAGGGAAACAACCCAGACCGCCAGCUAAGGUCCCAAAGUCAUGGUUAAGUGG